UUAUCAACAAGAUAUUCCAAAAAUAAUAUUACGUUAUAAAUAUAAGAUUUAUUGAGAAUUUAUUAAAAAAUUCUACUUCUUAGCUUAUCAUGCAAGCUAAAUCAAUGAGAAACGUCCACCAAUUUACUAUAAAUAAGACAUCCACAGUAGAAGAAACGAAAUCAUUGAACUUUGUAUUCUGAACUUUUAAUGUUAAUAAUGUUCUGAAUUUUUUUUUCUUCUUAUUUUAGAACAUUAAGCUUUUAUAUUUCAUGAGAGCUGAUUUUUCUUUUGGUUUAUAUGCAGAUACCCUAUUAUGACGAUUUAUCCACUGAAGCUAUAUAUCGAUUUGAUUGUACACCUCUUUGAUAUAUCAUUUCGAUAACAUCUUUGUUCCUCAAUCUGGUAAAAAAAGUUUACUCAAUUUGAUAACAUCUCUCAGUUAUAUCAUUUCAAUAGCAUCUUUUUGUGUUGCGAAUACUUUUUUUUUUAUUAGUAGAAUUAUAUUAUUGUUUAGAAUUAUAAGCUUAUAUAUACACAUAUUGUUUUUUGGUUUGCUGAUUGUGAUUUUGUUUUAUAUUUUUUCAGAGAUGAUUUGACGGAAGUGUACAUAUUUCAGACCUCUAAGAGUUCACCAUUCCGGUCCUGCAAAAGAUGUGCGCUUAGAAUGGUCCUGAUGUUGCAGUCAUUAGGUGAUAUUUCCUCUGGUUCUUUGAUUUUUCAGGAACUCCUUUGUCUAAAAGAAAAAGCCAAGAAGAUCAUGACAGUAGUCUUGAAGAUCAACACUAUGUCAUUUAACAAUUAUAUUAUUACUUAUUUAUUAUUUAGUUCUCACAAUUUGCCUUGAAUGAAAAAUAUGUCCAUAUUUAUCACAUUAA